CUUUUUCUUCUCGAGGGCCCAUAAUACUUUACACUUUUCUCCAGAAUACGUUUUACUCCUUCUCCAGCUUUAUUGAGUUGAAGACAAAGGCCUAAUUGAAGAGUUGAGCUGAAGAUGGAAAAAUUAAGCUGAAGAUCAAAGAACUUAGUUGAAGAUUUCUUCAAUAACUGCGAUUCGCUUCUCGUCGUAUUGUCUUAGUUGUCAUGACAUGUGAUAAUCCCUGUGGAGAAACUUGAUGUGGAGGGCUUAAUGCUUCAGAAGGCAAUUGUUAUUCGCCACAUGGAUGACUUUUCUGCAAAGAAGGCCUCAAAAUAUGUUGGUUGCUCUAUGGCUCUAACUACAUUGGAGAGGAUUGAGGAAGGGAAAGUUCGAGAACACACUGGUAAAUUCAUGUGCUUUUCCCUGUGGAAUUCAGCUGUGUUACCUUCAACAUAUUACGUGGAGGGAUCUUCGAUGUGGUUGUUGUCAUGAUAUUGAAGCAUGGUCGUGUCUUUUAGAGAUGUGGCCCAGAGACAAGGUGUACCUCUCUCAUCAGAAGAUGGCAGAUUAUAAGUAUGUGCCCGGAGAAAAUCCAAUCUUUAUGAAUGAGAAGAUGUCAAGAAUUGAGAAAGAUAGUGUGGUGCGUUUCAUCGUGGUUGGAACAAGGUAUGUGGAGGUGGAGAAGGAAUUCCAAGCAGUCAUGAUCUUGGAGAGUGAUUAUCUCGGACACCAUCUCACAAAACUCUGUGUAUAUUUGGGUUAGUCGCCAUGAUUGGCUCAUUUUGACAUAGAAGAGUCACUUGUAAAGCUAACUACUGUAGCUAUAUCUAUGUUUAGUACUAUUUGAAUUGAAAGUGACUUUUCUGUUGAUGUUGCAGAACCUCUCUGAAGUGUCUGUACUGAUUUUGUUACUUAAGCCCUCAAGUGGUCAUGUGAAUGUUAAGGUGUACCAUGUUUUCACAAAUACAUUUAUUUAUAUUUCAUGAUACUCAUAAGGUUAUUACAAUAAAUUUUUAUAGGAAACUUCUCAUUCCCUAUUAGAUAUGUUUAGUGACUUCAUUUAGGAAGAUUUGUGCUUUUCUAAUUGGAUUAGUGUUUUGGGUGUCAUACAUAUGUUGCUUCUUAGUUUUGCUUUGCUUCCUUAUUCUAAAAGAAAUGGUUGCAAGUAUUCUGAAGUAUGGACUUGCUGGUUAAUAUCCCUACAGAACCAACGCCAGUUAUGGCAUUACUGUUCAUCUUUUUCCUGCCAACUAACUGUAGUAAGAUCAGGUAGUGUUUUUUUCAGCUUUUGAUUUUCUGUCAAAACUGACUUUUUGUGCAAUAUAGGCAGAGAAAGGAGGACAUUACAGGUGCAUUUUACAAAAAAGUUGAUUCAAUCAGUAGAACAUGUUAUGAUAUGUCAAACGAUUUUUCUGAAAAUAAUGGGUAGUGACAACACUCAUAGACCUGAAGGUGUAUGGGGGGGAGGUUAUCUGAUACUUCCAUGUAGUUUUUCUAGUAGAACUGGUUGAACGCUUGCCGUAGUGUAUGCCUCUAGCUAUAUGCUAUGAUGUACAUAUUAUUGCAUUUGUCCUUUUUCAAAGAGAACGAAAGUUUGUGCUACUGAUAGGGCGCAAACAGUGGUCGAAAGAACUUGUUCAAAGAAGGGUGAUAUGGUUCUUGCUCAAUCUAGUCCUGAUAAUUCAUGGAACCGAGCAAUGGUAUGUGAUCCAAUAACUCUAUUGCUCUUAAUUUAUUUUAUUUACUUAGUCCCAUACGCCUUUAAACAGUUGAAGAUAUGACUUGAAUUACUAAGUACCCUAACUUUGUGUUAUUCUAUUAUAUGAAUGUAAAUUACUUGUUUGGUAUGACGUCAAACAAUUGAAUAUAUAGUUAUGAAUGUCUAUUCUUCUUCUGGUACCAUUCUGUUUUUAGGGUGCGUCAUAAUAAAAUGUUAUCACUUCGUGGUAAGAAAAUUGAACACAACUUAUUAAUAACUAGGUGUUGUCUCUCGAAUUAAUUUGGAACUGUGAUAUAUUAUAUGCAAUUUGGAAAUAAUAUGAAACUUGAACUGUAAUCUGCAAUCUUCAGUUUGGUUUUAAUAGUCCAAAAGAAGUAUAAUAGCGACUUGAAUUUGUUCGUCAGGAAGCAGUGGAUUCUUAUAAUAGAGAGAAGCAUGCCAGAGAUACAACAAAGAAACUGCAGGUUUCCCUUUCAGAAGAGCUCAACAAGAUACUGCAAGUGGAAAUCAGAAGGCAAGAAAGAAUCUCAGGCAUAUUUGUUUGGCUUCAUUACAGUGUUGAAUCAAUUGGUAAGAGCAUAGCUUUAAAAUCCUAAUAUCUGCAAAUCCAAUCACUAAGUAAUACAUACAAGGGGUUACAAGAGUACAACAAAGAGUUACAGGAUUAUAGCACUAGGCUUCAGAUUGACCUUGGUACAGUCAAUGAAACACUGAAGCACGUGGAGAUAGAGAAAGCUGCAGUGGUUGAAAAUAUCAGUGGACCAAGGGGCCAUUAUACUGCUUUAUAGGAACAUCUCACUUCUUCUAGAGUAAGUCUUUGAUUAGUUGUUUCAUCAGCUAUUGCUAUUAAAGUUGCUUGCAUCACCAGUAAUACUUUCAUGAACUGUUAUUAUAGAAUCUAUAAAGUGAACUAAAAACGCAGUCUACAAUCUUUUAUCAGGAACUGCUGCAAUCGGGAACUGAUCAGGAACUUUUCGCCGCCUCAGUAACUUUUGCAAUCUGAUUUUGUUGUACAUUUUAAAUUUGUAGGGAAAUGGAGGUGAUCAAACUUGAACGGUCGCCACAAGUCAACUUGAUCUUAUUUAUGUGGGUGGUGAAGAGUUUUUGAACUAUUGUGAAAGACUGAAUACAUUAUGUUCGAUUUUGUGAAAUAUAUUUAUUGGUGGAAUAUAUUGAUCUAUUGUAAGAGUACUUUUUGAACUAUUGUGUACACAUUUAGAAUAUUGUUUUAUAAGUAUGUGCAUGUACACAA